GGCCCGAUGGCGCAAUGGUAGCGCGUCAGAUUCCAGACCUGAAGGUUGGGUGUUCAAAUCACUCUCGGGUCA
rnacentral:tRNA from 1 species